rnacentral:rRNA from 1 species
UACGGGGGGGGGCAAGCGUUGUUCGGAAUCAUUGGGCGUAAAGGGCGCGUAGGUGGUUCUGUAUGUCUACCGUGAAAGCGUACAGCUCAACUGUAUUUUGUCGGUAGAAACUGCAGGACUUGAGGCUGGGAGGGGCUGGUGGAAUUCCCUGUGUAGCGGUGAAAUGCGUAGAGAUGGGGGGAGAACACUCGUGGCGAAGGCGGCCAGCUAGACCAGUUCUGACACUGAGGCGCGACAGCGUGGGGAGCAAACAGG